UCCAAAUUCUUUCCUCUGUGUUUCAACAAUCCCUCCAUGCUCCAAUGAAAAAGCAGGUGGUUUGGUCCCCCAUGCAUCAUGGGUCCCAAAGAUUUGCCAGAGGCACAGACCUACCUAUCCAGGGGCCCUGUUCCACUCACUUUCUGUGGCUCUCUUUCAGCUCCCUGUCAGCACAGCUCUGCUUCUGCUUCUGCAUGGAUUGCCCUGUGCCUUCGAGAUCUACAAGUUUGACUUGCCAGACCCUCUGCUCCUUCCAAAUGGGUGGAAGUGGACUAUUGUAAGAGAGGGUUUUCUUUGACUGAAACAACUUGGCCAAACCAACAUGAACUCAUGAAAUGUUUCAGGGCUGCUGCAGCUGCAUUUUGCUCUGAAAAAAUGUAUUGGAUCUGGAUGAAAAAAAAAUGCCCAGGUCUAGUCAUUCACACCUGGGCAAAGUGAAGGCAAAAGGCUGCUGUUCUGAACUGUGUCUCUGCGGAGCAGGAAGCAGCUCAGCCAGGUCACCUUGCCCAAUGCCAAACAGUACCAGAGAGCAAGAGUUCCACAAGGCAGGCCUGGAGUGUGUGAAGGGAAGGUUCACGUUGCUGUUGCUUUAAGGUCCCGUCCAGCAAGAUGCUGAGCACUGAAGGAACUCAUCGCUUCACAGCAUCAGUCACGAAUGGAACUUUGUGCAUCUCUGGCUAGGGUAUACUGCUAACCACAUGGUAUUCAUACUAGCUAUGAGGGCCAACUGGAAACACAUGAGAACUGGUGGACCAUUCUGUAAGGCAUCAUUCUCAACCUUUUCGGGUUGGUGACCCCUUCUUCAUGAUCCCCUUAAUUUACUAUAAAAGUUACAACUGUAUCAAUGAUACACAUAUAUAAUUAAUCCUUGUGUGUGUUUCCAGAAGUUGACAAAGAAUACUUGACCUUGAAGAGUAAGGCUUUGUGAGAGAGGGGGAGUGAGACUUUCUCUGUAAUACUAUUUUCAAUGCCUCAUGACUCUCCUGUGUGCCUUGUCUGACCCACAUGACAAUACCAAUCCACCAGUUCAGAAACAUUGCUGUAAAAUAUUGGAAUAAGUAACAGAGCUCCCUCUAGAGGUGUUUGUAGAUUAUAUCAAUUUAAGGACAUUCUUGUGUAUCAUUCUUCCUAUUUGAUGUUGAUAAAAGUUAAUCAAAGCCUA